UUAUAUGAGAGUUUGAUCCUGGCUCAGGAUGAACGCUGGCGGUGUGCCUAAUACAUGCAAGUCGUACGCAUUCCCGUUUUUGAUUGAAGGUGCUUGCACCUGAUUGAUAAAACAUCGGAAUGAGUGGCGGACGGGUGAGUAACACGUGGGUAACCUGCCCAGAAGUGGGGGAUAACAUUUGGAAACAGAUGCUAAUACCGCAUAAUAGAUAGAACCACAUGGUUCUAUUUUGAAAGAUGGCCUUUGUGCUAUCACUUCUGGAUGGACCCGCGGUGUAUUAGCUAGUUGGUAAGGUAACGGCUUACCAAGGCAAUGAUACAUAGCCGAACUGAGAGGUUGAUCGGCCACAAUGGGACUGAGACACGGCCCAUACUCCUACGGGAGGCAGCAGUAGGGAAUCUUCCACAAUGGGCGCAAGCCUGAUGGAGCAACACCGCGUGAGUGAAGAAGGGUUUCGGCUCGUAAAACUCUGUUGUUAAAGAAGAACGUAUCUAAGAGUAACUGCUUAGGUAGUGACGGUAUUUAACCAGAAAGCCACGGCUAACUACGUGCCAGCAGCCGCGGUAAUACGUAGGUGGCAAGCGUUAUCCGGAUUUAUUGGGCGUAAAGCGAGCGCAGGCGGUUUUUUAAGUCUGAUGUGAAAGCCUUCGGCUUAACCGAAGAAGUGCAUCGGAAACUGGGAAACUUGAGUGCAGAAGAGGACAGUGGAACUCCAUGUGUAGCGGUGAAAUGCGUAGAUAUAUGGAAGAACACCAGUGGCGAAGGCGGCUGUCUGGUCUGUAACUGACGCUGAGGCUCGAAAGCAUGGGUAGCGAACAGGAUUAGAUACCCUGGUAGUCCAUGCCGUAAACGAUGAAUGCUAAGUGUUGGAGGGUUUCCGCCCUUCAGUGCUGCAGCUAACGCAUUAAGCAUUCCGCCUGGGGAGUACGACCGCAAGGUUGAAACUCAAAGGAAUUGACGGGGGCCCGCACAAGCGGUGGAGCAUGUGGUUUAAUUCGAAGCAACGCGAAGAACCUUACCAGGUCUUGACAUCUAGCGCCAAUCUCAGAGAUGAGACGUUCCCUUCGGGGACGCUAAGACAGGUGGUGCAUGGUUGUCGUCAGCUCGUGUCGUGAGAUGUUGGGUUAAGUCCCGCAACGAGCGCAACCCUUAUUAUCAGUUGCCAGCAUUCAGUUGGGCACUCUGGUGAGACUGCCGGUGACAAACCGGAGGAAGGUGGGGACGACGUCAAAUCAUCAUGCCCCUUAUGACCUGGGCUACACACGUGCUACAAUGGACGGUACAACGAGUUGCGAACUCGCGAGGGUAAGCUAAUCUCUUAAAGCCGUUCUCAGUUCGGACUGUAGGCUGCAACUCGCCUACACGAAGUCGGAAUCGCUAGUAAUCGCGGAUCAGCAUGCCGCGGUGAAUACGUUCCCGGGCCUUGUACACACCGCCCGUCACACCAUGAGAGUUUGUAACACCCAAAGUCGGUGGGGUAACCCUUCGGGGAGCCAGCCGCCUAAGGUGGGACAGAUGAUUAGGGUGAAGUCGUAACAAGGUAGCCGUAGGAGAACCUGCGGCUGGAUCACCUCCUUU
rfam:Lactobacillus vaccinostercus DSM 20634 NODE_48, whole genome shotgun sequence.